GAACGCUGGCGGCAGGCCUAACACAUGCAAGUCGAGCGGAAACGAUGGAAGCUUGCUUCCAGGCGUCGAGCGGCGGACGGGUGAGUAANGCAUAGGAAUCUGCCCGGUAGUGGGGGAUAACCUGGGGAAACCCAGGCUAAUACCGCAUACGUCCUACGGGAGAAAGCAGGGGAUCUUCGGACCUUGCGCUAUCGGAUGAGCCUAUGUCGGAUUAGCUAGUUGGUGAGGUAAUGGCUCACCAAGGCNGCGAUCCGUAGCUGGUCUGAGAGGAUGAUCAGCCACAUCGGGACUGAGACACGGCCCGAACUCCUACGGGAGGCAGCAGUGGGGAAUAUUGGACAAUGGGCGAAAGCCUGAUCCAGCCAUGCCGCGUGUGUGAAGAAGGCUUUCGGGUUGUAAAGCACUUUCAGUGGGGAAGAAAUCCUCGGGGCCAAUACCCUCGAGGGAGGACAUCACCCACAGAAGAAGCACCGGCUAACUCCGUGCCAGCAGCCGCGGUAAUACGGAGGGUGCGAGCGUUAAUCGGAAUUACUGGGCGUAAAGCGCGCGUAGGCGGCGUGAUAAGCCGGUUGUGAAAGCCCCGGGCUCAACCUGGGAACGGCAUCCGGAACUGUCAGGCUAGAGUGCAGGAGAGGAAGGUAGAAUUCCCG
rnacentral:rRNA from 1 species